UCAAACUUGGUCAUUUAGAGGAAGUAAAAGUCGUAACAAGGUUUCCGUAGGUGAACCUGCGGAAGGAUCAUUAACAAAUUCUAUGAAUAAUAUACACCAGUGAAAUGAGGCUGAGGAUAGUGUAAGUAGUAGCAGGUGAAUAUGCUUGCCCUACUUGACCUAAUCAGACUGCAAAUACGCAUAUACACAGUAGUCAUUUACAAAUAUACAUAAAAAAAACAACUUUUAACAAUGGAUCUCUUGGCUCUCGCAUCGAUGAAGAACGCAGC
rnacentral:misc_RNA from 1 species